GACGAACGCUGGCGGCGUGCUUAACACAUGCAAGUCGAACGGUGAAGCGCCUUCCUUUUUGGUGGGUGUGGAUGAGUGGCGAACGGGUGAGUAACACGUGAGUAACCUGCCCCCUUCUUCUGGAUAACCGCAUGAAAGUGUGGCUAAUACGGGAUAUUCUGGGUCUGUCGCAUGAUGGGUCUGGGAAAGAUAUUGUUUCGGUGGGGGAUGGGCUCGCGGCCUAUCAGCUUGUUGGUGGGGUGAUGGCCUACCAAGGCGGUGACGGGUAGCCGGCCUCAGAGGGUGGACGGUCACACUGGGACUGAGACACGGCCCAGACUCCUACGGGAGGCAGCAGUGGGGAAUAUUGCACAAUGGGCGCAAGCCUGAUGCAGCGACGCCGCGUGAGGGAUGGAGGCCUUCGGGUUGUGAACCUCUUUCGCCAGUGAAGCAGGCCUGCCUCGUUUGUGGGUGGGUUGACGGUAGCUUGAUAAGAAGCGCCGGCUAACUACGUG
rnacentral:rRNA from 1 species